GAAUUCCAGUCAGGAUUUAGAUCGUAUCAUAGUACUGAGACUGCUCUCAUUAGAGUUACAAAUGACCUGCUUCUAUCAUCUGAUCGUGGUUGUAUCUCUUUAUUAGUUCUACUGGAUCUUAGCGCUGCGUUCGACACUAUCGACCACAACAUUCUUUUGAAUAGACUACAAAACUUUGUUGGCAUUAGUGGAAGUGCCUUAGCAUGGUUCAAAUCGUACUUAUCUGACCGCCAUCAGUUCGUAGCAGUGAAUGAAGAGGUAUCAUAUCGAUCACAAGUGCAGUAUGGAGUACCUCAAGGCUCAGUACUAGGGCCGUUACUUUUCACGCUCUAUAUGUAACCCUUGGGAGAUAUUAUCAGGAGACAUGGUGUUCGCUUUCACUGUUAUGCUGAUGAUACUCAGCUCUAUAUUUCUUCGCGGCCCGGUGAAACACACCAAAUUGAGAAACUAACGGAAUGCAUAGUCGAUAUAAAAACUGGAUGACGAGUAAUUUUUACUGCUAAAUUCUGAAAAAACAGAGGUGUUAAUUAUCGGACCUAAAAACCCCACAUGUAAUAACCUAGAACAUUAUCUAACACUUGACGGCUGCUCUGUCAAUUCUUCUUCAUCAGUCAGGAACCUAGGUGUGCUGUUCGAUAGCAAUCUGUCAUUUGAAAGCCAUGUUUCUAGCAUCUGUAAAACUGCAUUUUUUCAUCUCAAAAGCAUAUCUAAAUUGCGACCAAUGCUCUCAACGUCAAAUGCAGAAAUGUUAAUUCAUGCGUUUAUGACCUCAAGGUUAGACUAUUGUAAUGCUUUAUUGGGUGGUUGUUCUGCACGCUUAAUCAACAAACUACAGUUAGUCCAAAAUGCAGCAGCUAGAGUCCUUACUAGAACCAGGAAAUAUGACCAUAUUAGCCCGGUUCUGUCAACACUGCACUGGCUCCCUAUCAAGCAUCGGAUAGAUUUUAAAAUCUUGUUAAUUACUUAUAAAGCCCUGAAUGGUUUAGCUCCUCAGUACUUGAGCGAGCUCUUAUCGCAUUAUAGUCCUCCACGUCCGCUGCGUUCACAAAACUCCGGCCGUUUGAUCAUACCUAGAAUAUCAAAAUCGACUGCGGGCGGCAGAUCCUAUUCCUAUUUAGCACCCAAACUCUGGAACAGUCUACCUAACACUGUUCGGGAGGCAGACACACACUGUCAGUUUAAAUCUAGAUUAAAGACCCAUCUCUUUAGCCUGGCUUACACAUAACACAUUAAUACGCUUCUAUUAUUCAAAUCCGUUAAAGGAUUGUUAGGCUGCAUUAAUUAGAUCAACCGGAACCGGGAACACUCCCCAUAAAACACGAUGUACUCGUUACAUCGUAAGUUGAAUGGCAUCUACGCUAAUAUUUGUCUGUUUCUUUCCUAGUCUGUUUCUCAGUCCGUAUCCGAUCAGAUGGUGGAUCAGCACCAAGAGAUGAUGUCUACAGCCCUGAUCGUCAGCGGAGACCAGGACACCCAGAUGACCCCCAGAGAUAUAUCCCCAGAUAUAUCAACCAAAAAUAACUAAAAUAUAAUAAAAUACCUAACUACAUAAUACUACUAUUGUUAGAAAUUGCAACAAAAUUAAAAUAGAAAUAUAAACUUUUGAACUGCGGGUUUCGUCUGGUCAGAGGAGAACUGGCCCCCCGACUGAGCCUGGUUUCUCCCAAGGUUUUUUUUUUCUCCAUUCUGUCUCAGAGGGAGUUUUGGUUCCUUGCCGCUGUCGCCUCUGGCUUGCUCAGUUGGGGACACUUAAUUUCUAGCGAUUAUCGCCGAUUUGAUUGCACAGAUACUAUUUAAACUAAACUGAGCUAGACAAUGACAUCUCUGAAUUCAAUAAUGAAAUGCCUUUAACUGAAAAUUGAAAAUUGAGUGUUUAAUCUUAUCAUUAUACAUUACUGACACUCUAUCCUCCAAUUUGAUACUGUUAAGUGCUUUGACGUGCGCUAUAUAAAUAAAGGUGACUUGACUUGACUUGACUAUUACUUUGCGUUUAGGACCAUUGACUCUGAUCCUUCUGUUUUAGUGCUUGAAGACAGUCAAGAACUGAUUUCCACUUAAAACUCAAGAUCAACAAUUGAAGAGCUGUGGAUUUUUGCUAAUACAAGUAAUCCACGCAACUCUAGUCCAUCAAUUAAUGAAUUGUGAAGCAGAAGGCUGUGUGUUUAAGAAACAAAUCAAUCAAGGCUGCAUUUCCCAAAAGCAUUGUAAGCUUUCAAUGGGUCUACGAUGUACUUGAGCUUACGAUGCUUUUGGGAAAUGUAAGCUGUGUCUCAAAGUUGAGUGCGCUCUUCCAAGACCGGAUUUGAAGUGCGACUGCAUCACACCGACACUACGAAGACUGUCCCAAUGUGAAGUGUACACACUCCGAAGUGCGACUGCAUCACGACGUAAGCUGUCCCAAUUCAGGAUGCGCCCUCCGAAGACCGCAUUCCAAGGCCGAUUGUGUCACUGUGGCGCGACGAAGGCUGCAGUAAUUUGAAAGCGACUUCAAAUGCGCCCUCCGUUUCCCAGGAAAAUGAAUUGUACAUCUGAUGGACACUUCGCACCCUACCAUAUCCCAGAAUCACUCGCACGCAGAUGACGAUGGAAUUUAUAUUCAAAGAACAUGGCGGAUGAGAGUUCUGUGGGGUAUUCACAUUGAAAUGAAUAUUCUGGAGAAAAUGAGCCUGCUGGGGAAGGACUUAAAAAUACAAAGAUUGUAAGUGUCCCGGGACAGGUGAGGGGGUGAGUGGAAGUUGGUGGAGCUACUCAGGAAGGACAUCCAAUUCCAGAGAGAGAGACAGAGGAGAGAAGAGCACAGGAGAGCAGGGAGAGAAAAAAUAAUUUUUUAUUUACCCUUCUCUCAAGAAGAGAAAACAGUGGAGAAAAUGGAUACAAAAGUAUCUUUUUUUUGUGUGUGUGUCACAUUGUCAAUGAAACAACCUAAUUUCUGCAGUUUAUUUUUGUGAUGCAAGUUAAAAAUGAAAUGGUAAGUUGUAUGCGUUAUUCAUUUCUGUAAUUUAAUUUAUUUGUAAAUGAGCCUGAGUAGUUUCUGUACAUUUUUUUUUUUUAUGCAUAUUCACAUGUGUAAAUAAAAGAGAAGUAAUUGUUAUGCACCUUUUUUUUUUUUUUUGUUAAUGCAUAUUACAAAACCUUCUAUCCUUUUUUUUUUUAAUGCAUAUUACAAAACCUUCUAUGCUUUUUUUAAAUGCAUAUUACAAAACCUUCUAUACUUUUUUUUUUUUUUUUUGUCCUGUAAACUAAUUUUUUACACAUUAAAACUAAUUGUUCUAUACAUUACUGAAAGUACUUUUUACAACAUUGCUUAGGUUUAACAUCAGAAAAACAAAAUCAAUUUUAAGCCCAGCCCAGCCUCCAUGUGUUCUGGGGUCUUCGGGAGGUGAAUCUCUUGGUGAAUGGCCAGCACCUCCUCAGCGACUCGGAGGACAGUGCGGUGGACAGUGGAACGAGGCAUGUCAAACACUCUGGAGACCACUCUGUAUGAUGCACCACUGGCCAGACAGAAGAGAAACACCAGGGUCUGGAUUGUGGCACCCCAUCCAUGUCAUCAUUCACUUCUCUGAAGAUCCAGCAGCACUGUCAGCACCUCCCUGAUCAGCCCAAAAUCAUUAAAAACCUGUCCAGCGCUGACACAUUCAGCUUUAUCCUGCAGUACAGGGGUCUGGUCUGGUUUAGCGAAAGAAGGAAAAGAGAAAUUGUUUAGAGCUAUGACAAAGUAAUUAGUAGAAGAAAUAUUAAGGUACUUUAGUAAACUACUUGUAGUAAUACCACAUUGGGGAAAAACUAGUCAUAUUUAAAACCUUAGUGGAAGGGAUGGUUCACCCAAAAAGGAAAAUGCCAAACCUGGAACAACUUGAGGGUGAGUAAAUGAUUUCAGAGUUUUCAUUUCUGGAUAUCUGUCCUCUAAUUAAAAGUAUUAUCUUACAUACUCUAUAAUGUAGUCUAUAUACUUAAGGUAUUGAGAGUAAAAGUAAAGGUUUUCAUUAUUGUUCUGAAAAAGAAUUCGUCAGGAUGGUUUUGCAUUAAUAUUACUGCUGCACUACUGUUUAUGUUGCAUUUUACUUCUGAAUAUGUUCAAGACUGUUAAAUUUAAAGUUGCCUACUGUUGGGUAGUAAAUUAUUGCAAACUAUAUCAGAGGCUGCAUCUGAAGGACUCGGUGCGCCCAAAGAGCACUGUUCAGCUGUGACAGCUGCCACUGAACAUUGAGCUGAAAAAUGCCCUAUUUUUAUUUUAUUUUUAUUUACAGUUUUAUUUUAAUGCUUGCCUAAAAAGUCCAGGUUGCAAACCUGUCUACAUAUGAUCACCAUGGUCAAGACAAUAAACUAUAUAAAAGCGCACCUUUGUCAGAUAUCAGUCAGCAUUUGAACGUGUGUGUGUGUGUUAGGGUUAGGUUUUGUGUUUUGUAGUUUUUCUUAUGUAUCAUUACAUUAUUCAAGUAAGCGCAAAGCCAAGACCUGCAUUUAAAGUUAAAAAUCCGG